rnacentral:rRNA from 1 species
CCUACGGGAGGCAGCAGUGGGGAAUAUUGCACAAUGGGGGAAACCCUGAUGCAGCGACGCCGCGUGGGUGAAGGAGUAUUUCGGUACGUAAAGCUCUAUCAGCAGGGAAGAAGAUGACGGUAACUGACUAAGAAGCCCCGGCUAACCACGGGCCAGCAGCCGCGGUAAAACGUGGGGGGCAAGCGUUAUCCGGAUUUACUGGGUGUAAAGGGAGCGGAGACGGCAGCGCAAGUCUGGAGUGAAAUCCCAUGGCUUAACCCUGGAACUGCUUUGGAAACUGUGCAGCUAGAGUGCAGGAGAGGUAAGCGGAAUUCCUGGUGUAGCGGUGAAAUGCGUAGAUAUUAGGAGGAACACCAGUGGCGAAGGCGGCUUACUGGACUGUAACUGACGUUGAGGCUCGAAAGCGUGGGGAGCGAACAGGAUUAGAUACCCCAGUAGUC